rnacentral:siRNA from 1 species
CUAAGUAAUGACUUGUGGUCCGA